UGUGUUUGGACUUUUCCUUUUAUAUUCUAUGGUUUCCUGUCCCUAAGGAAGCCGAAGUAUGUCCAGGUCCAUAGUGGCCAAAAUAUUGAGAUAGACUCGGCAAUCUGACAACCAACAAGCAAGUGCUGAACGCUGAGAGUGUGGCGCUAAAAUUUUGCUGUUCCAAACACAGGCUAGAAAAGUAGCAGAGACUCAAAUCAAAUAAAUCUUUAUUCACACUUGUGUCAUGACUGAUCCUUAACCACAAUGAUGGAUGCUCCAGGUCCCCGGGAUGGAAUGCACCAAUUUAACAGCACACAAUGGGAAUUUCAAUCACCUACCUCUGGGAUACCGAGCAACAUAUGCAUGUGAAAGUGAUAGUGUUGGAAAAGAUCAUUCCUUGUAUCCGUUUGCUGAAAGGAUCGAACGUGGGUCAAGAUUUAGAAACAGUGAUGUCUUCUAUCUGGAAGCCAAAUAAGUUUAUGCCAAGAUUAUAAUGUAUCCCCUAUACAGAGGAUAAUGAGAUGGCUGAUUGCUAGUAUUUCCCAACCAACUUGC